AAACUUUCAACAACGGAUCUCUUGGCUCUGGCAUCGAUGAAGAACGCAGCGAAACGCGAUAAGUAAUGUGAAUUGCAGAAUUUAGUGAAUCAUCGAAUCUUUGAACGCACAUUGCGCCCGCCAGUUUUCUGGCGGGCAUGCCUGUCCGAGCGUCAUUA
rnacentral:rRNA from 1 species